rnacentral:rRNA from 1 species
GUGCCAGCAGCCGCGGUAAGACGAAGGAUGCAAGCGUUAUCCGGAUUCAUUGGGUUUAAAGGGAGCGUAGGUGGACUGAUAAGUCAGUGGUGAAAUCUUCGAGCUUAACUCGGAAAUUGCCAUUGAUACUGUUGGUCUUGAGUACAGUUGCUGUGGGCGGAAUAUGACAUGUAGUGGUGAAAUACAUAGAGAUGUCAUAGAACACCGAUUGCGAAGGCAGCUCACAAAGCUGUAACUGACACUGAGGCUCGAAAGUGCGGGGAUCAAACAGGAUUAGAUACCCUGGUAGUCC